AUGAACGCUGGCGGCGUGCCUAAUACAUGUAAGUCGGACGGAGUAUUAGCAAUAAUACUUAGUGGCGAACGGGUGAGUAACGCGUUGGUGACCUGCCCCGAAGAGAGGGAUUACAGUUCGAAAGGACUGCUAAUACCGCAUAAUAUCUUGCUAGUUAGAGAGGCGAGAUGAAAGGAGUGCGUUCGUAAGAACGCCCCACUUUGGGAGGGGCCUGCGUCCCAUCAGCUAGUUGGUAAGGUAAAAGCCUACCAAGGCGAAGACGGGUAGGGGACCUGAGAGGGUGAUCCCCCACACUGGCACUGAAACACGGGCCAGACACCUACGGGUGGCAGCAGUAGGGAAUAUUGCACAAUGGGCGAAAGCCUGAUGCAGCAACGCCGCGUGCGCGAAGAAGGCCUUCGGGUCGUAAAGCGCUUUUCGGGGAGAUGAGGAAGGACAGUAUCCCCGGAAUAAGGCUCGGCUAACUACGUGCCAGCAGCCGCGGUAACACGUAGGAGCCAAGCGUUAUCCGAAUUCACUGGGCGUAAAGCGCGUGUAGGCGGCUUGAUAAGUUGGAUGUGAAAGCUCCUGGCUCAACUGGGAGAGGACGUACAAUACUGUCAGGCUAGAGUACGGCAGAGGGAGGUGGAAUUCCCGGUGUAGUGGUGAAAUGCGUAGAUAUCGGGAGGAACACCAGUGGCGAAGGCGGCCUUCUGGGCCGUAACUGACGCUCAGACGCAAAGCUAGGGGAGCAAACGGGAUUAGAAACCCCGGUAGUCCUAGCCGUAAACGAUGUAGACUUGGUGUAGGUGGUGUAAAAGCCAUCGGUGCCGAAGCCAACGCGAUAAGUCUACCGCCUGGGGACUACGGCCGCAAGGUUAAAACUCAAAGGAAUUGACGG
rnacentral:rRNA from 1 species